rnacentral:rRNA from 1 species
GAUGAACGCUGGCGGCGUGCCUAAUACAUGCAAGUCGAGCGAACAGACGAGGAGCUUGCUCCUCUGACGUUAGCGGCGGACGGGUGAGUAACACGUGGAUAACCUACCUAUAAGACUGGGAUAACUUCGGGAAACCGGAGCUAAUACCGGAUAAUAUAUUGAACUGCAUGGUUCAAUAGUGAAAGACGGUUUUGCUGUCACUUAUAGAUGGAUCCGCGCCGCAUUAGCUAGUUGGUAAGGUAACGGCUUACCAAGGCAACGAUGCGUAGCCGACCUGAGAGGGUGAUCGGCCACACUGGAACUGAGACACGGUACAGACUCCUACGGGAGGCAGCAGUAGGGAAUCUUCCGCAAUGGGCGAAAGCCUGACGGAGCAACGCCGCGUGAAUGAUGAAGGUCUUCGGAUCGUAAAACUCUGUUAUUAGGGAAGAACAAAUGUGUAAGUAACUAUGCACGUCUUGACGGUACCUAAUCAGAAAGCCACGGCUAACUACGUG